rnacentral:lncRNA from 1 species
UGUUUUUCUUGAGAAUCUUGCGGUGCUGGUUAACGGGUAUCCUAUCUAGGAGAAUAGUAUCCAAAGGAGGUUGAAACUGGGGGAUCCCUAGCUCCCUUCUUUUUUUCUUGUAAUGGGGUAUAGUAGGAAAAAUUGAGUAGUUUGGUCUUUACUCUAGAUUCAGGGUUGGAAAUUAUUGGUUGGUAGUGUCUCAUCUCUAGCAUGCUAAUGGUACUCUCCGGGUGGCUGAUCCUUCUCAAGAGAAUUUGCGGUGUAUCAAGGCUAUUCUUAGAGGUUUUGAGAGGGUCUCGGGGCUCCGCGUCAACUUCUUUAUGAGUAGUCUUAUUGGAGUUAAUGUGGACCAUGUCUUUCUUUCUUCAAUCGAGGACUUUCUUCAUUGUGAGAUAUAAUAUCUCUCUUUUAAGUACCUUGGUUUUUCCAUAGGGGCCUAAUACUAAUUAAGCAUAAUAAGUUGCAUACAUUAGUUACGCGACAACACAAUAACAUAUCUCAGAAAUAUCUUAAUUAUAAUAUUGAUCAUUCAUAUCAAAAUAUUUGAUAUUCAUUAUAUUGAUCACAAUUGUAAUAUAUUAGGAAGUUUUGCUUAUUUUCUUACAAUCACACUAAUUGGUGGUUGUCUGUUUGUACCUAUACAAUGUACCUUGUAUCAAUUUCUCAAUAACACAACAAGUUGAAUUCA